rnacentral:pre_miRNA from 6 species
CUCUUUGGUGAUUUUAGCUGUAUGAUUUACAAUUAUAUUCCAUAGAGCUUUAUUACCAAAAAC